rnacentral:rRNA from 1 species
UACGUAGGGGGCAAGCGUUGUCCGGAUUUAUUGGGCGUAAAGGGUGCGUAGGCGGGUCUUUAAGUCAGGGGUGAAAUCCUGGAGCUCAACUCCAGAACUGCCUUUGAUACUGAGGAUCUUGAGUUCGGGAGAGGUGAGUGGAACUGCGAGUGUAGAGGUGAAAUUCGUAGAUAUUCGCAAGAACACCAGUGGCGAAGGCGGCUCACUGGCACGAUACUGACGCUGAGGCACGAAAGCGUGGGGAGCAAACAGG